rnacentral:rRNA from 1 species
CCUACGGGUGGCAGCAGUGGGGAAUAUUGCGCAAUGGGCGAAAGCCUGACGCAGCGACGCCGCGUGAGGGAUGAAGGUCCUCGGAUCGUAAACCUUUGUCAGUAGGGAAGAACGGUCACUGUGCUAAUCAGCAGUGAAUUGACGGUACCUGUAAAGGAAGCACCGGCUAACUCCGUGCCAGCAGCCGCGGUAAUACGGCGGGUGCGAGCGUUAAUUGGAAUUACUGGGCGUAAAGCGCUCGUAGGCGGUAUGUCAAGUCAAGGGUGAAAUCCCCGCGCUCAACGUGGGAACUGCCUUUGAAACUGGCAAACUGGAGUGUGUGAGAGGAUGGUGGAAUUCCAGGUGUAGGAGUGAAAUCCGUAGAUAUCUGGAGGAACAUCAGUGGCGAAGGCGACUAUCUGACACGUGACUGACACUGAGGCGCGAAAGCGUGGGUAGCAAACAGGAUUAGAUACCCCAGUAGUC